GAUGAACGCUGGCGGCGUGCCUAAUACAUGCAAGUCGAGCGAACAGACGAGGAGCUUGCUCCUCUGACGUUAGCGGCGGACGGGUGAGUAACACGUGGAUAACCUACCUAUAAGACUGGGAUAACUUCGGGAAACCGGAGCUAAUACCGGAUAAUAUAUUGAACCGCAUGGUUCAAUAGUGAAAGACGGUUUUGCUGUCACUUAUAGAUGGAUCCGCGCCGCAUUAGCUAGUUGGUAAGGUAACGGCUUACCAAGGCAACGAUGCGUAGCCGACCUGAGAGGGUGAUCGGCCACACUGGAUCUGAGACACGGUCCAGACUCCUACGGGAGGCAGCAGUAGGGAAUCUUCCGCAAUGGGCGAAAGCCUGACGGAGCAACGCCGCGUGAGUGAUGAAGGUCUUCGGAUCGUAAAACUCUGUUAUUAGGGAAGAACAAAUGUGUAAGUAACUAUGCACGUCUUGACGGUACCUACUCAGAAAGCCACGGCUAACUACGUG
rnacentral:rRNA from 1 species